GGGCUCACUUGGCAGCACAUAUACUAAAAUUGGAACGAUACAGAGAAUGUUAGCGUGGCCCCUGUGCAAGGAUGACAUGCAAACUCAUGAAGCGUUCCGUUUUUUG
ensembl:snRNA U6 U6 spliceosomal RNA